GCUAAGCUGUCCAGGCUGGGCUUGAACUUGCAAUCCUCCUGCCACAGCCUCCCAGAGUGCGGGCGUUACAGGCGCAUGCCGACACGCCUGGUGGAAAGACCCGUUCUAUCAUUUUAAGUUAAAUUCCCCUCUUCACCCUCAGUGCUUGUCGGCCAGAGUGGCAAAACACCAGGGACCGCAUGAUUGGGCCCCAGAAUUCCCUUCCUGUUCUCCCCUUCCCCGCGGUCCUGGAGGCUGGAAGUCCAAGCCCACGGUGUCCCGGCCGGGUCCAUGCGGCCGAGGUGGGCGCCUCCUCCCGGUCCGCACAGCCCGCCGCUGCUGCAUGUCUGCACCCUCCCCACUGUACUGGGCUGAGGCCUGGUGCCCUUUGACUUAUUCACCUCUUUGCAGGUCCUGCUCCAGAAGCGGCCACACGUGUCCAGGGCUGGGUCUCAGCAUGGGCCUUGGGGGCUGCCUGCUGCCCCCAGGUCCUGUCCGACUCAGGCCACAGCGUGCCUGGAUGCCGUGUGUCCAGAGCGGACUCAGAGUCCCACAGCCUCCGCAAAGUCCCAGUGCCCGCACCGAGCCCCCAAGGGGCACUGUUGUCCCUGGCCAGCGGGACCGGGCCGCCUGGGUCUCCCAUCCUCCUCCGCCACAGGCCAAGCACACAGCUCGUCCACAAAUCCCACGGCUCCUCCCUGGGCUGCUGGGUGCAGGGCUUGUUGGAGGCUCGGGCCAUUCUGGGGCCUCCCGCUCCCCGCACGGCAUCCCCCCACCCUGCUGUCUCAUGUGGACCAGCGCUGCUGGAUCACAGCUGCAGAGGGGAAGCCAUCCUUCCCAGUGCAUCCCAGCCAGCUGUGUGGGGACAGGGGCCAGCCACGCUGAUGGAAGAGGGCUAGAGCGAAGGCCUGGGACGGAUCCAGGCCAGGACCCAGCCUGAGAGGACCCACAGGAGCAGCGGCGGGAUACACACCACGAGACACAGGAAGAAGAGAAGCAAAACACAGCAGCAAGAGAAGACUGGCCGGUCAGGGGCCCACGCGGGGACUCUCCUUCAGUUAGUGACCGAUCAGGCUGCUUGCUCUUCGCAAAGUCGGCUCUGCUCAACCUGCUAUUUAAAAUAUGGGUAAAGCCCUGCAAGAAGGUGGCAGGCAGCGCCCCGGCCGGAGCGUCCAGGUCCAGCACCGAGGCGAGGUCUCCUCAUGUGGGCGGUGACGUCUCCCUAGGACUCGGGGCAAACAGGAGCGGACCCAUGCCAGCCAGUGCCGCCGCGCCUGUGACUGCCCGGACCUGACUGCUGCACCCUGGGACGGGGGAGCAGGAGCCCUCGGUCAGACGUGCGUAGAGGGAGGACGAUCGUGGCUUGAGUGUGCAUGUGUGCACCCCUGUGAGUGUGUGUGUGCUUGCUGAGAACAUGAGUGAGCACGUGCACAGAAGGUCACGUGUGUGAGUGAACAUGCAGGAAGAAGCAUGUGUACAUGCACACACAUGUAUGUAUGCACGAGCAUGAAUGUAUAUGUGAGCGAUAUGCGCAUGUGUAAGAGUACAUGUGUAUGAAUGUGUGCGUGCCUGCAUGUGUGUGCACGUGUCUGUGUGUGCACGUAUUGCUGUGUGUAUCCACGAGGGUCUGAGUGUAAAUGUGUGUGUGAGCGUUUGUGCACGAGGGUCCCCCUCAAGGUCACCAUCCUGCUUCUCACCUGGCCCCUUGGGGCGCUGCCCUUGCCCAGCACGGGGAAGUGAGUCCCUCCGCCUGCAGGACAGACACAGGUGGCCGGGAUGAGCUGGGAUACCGCUGGGAACACGCGGCCAAGAUCCCUGGGACUGAGCUGGCGCUACGUGUCCUGGGGAAGCACUCGCCGUCCACACAGUGCCAGAGGGGGACUUGGUCACCUGCAGCUCGUGGAGUGAUGCCCAGGAGGCCGGCCCGGGGCAGACCGUCCAACCCCAUCCAGAAGAGUUUGCACUGUGCUCCAGGAGAAGGGUCCUUACCCGGGCCCCGCAGAACAACACGGUGUGGUCUGACACACAGUGACCCGAACGUACUCAGAGAAUAAGCACAAACUCCCCACUGUGUGAUAAAGACAAAGCUGGUGGUGGCCUUGUCCUGAGGCCUGGGAGCUGGAGGGCGGUCAGAGACCGCAGGUCAGGGCUCACCAGUCCUUUAGGGCUCACAGUUAGCCUGCAGAGACAGACUCACUGUCACCACAGGCGGCGGACCGGACAGGCGGGCGGGGGCGUGUGGGAGCUGGGGAUGCUGGGUGCCAGCUGGGCCUGCUGUCGCUGAUGGAGGGCAUCGUGGCGGGCAGGCAGGCAUGGGCGCUGCCCGGGGACUCCUGUCCCGGCCCUCGCCGCCUUCCUCUCCUCCACCCGCAGCACCCUGCUGCUCACCCAAAGGCCCUGCCUGCCUCUGCAUCCCGUAAUAAAAAUAGGCCAGGCCAGCCGCGAAUUCUAUGAGACGCUAGAACUGUACUCAGAAUGAGCUGAGGACCAGGGGAAAAGCACUCUCCAUUGUCAAAAAGAAACGGUUGGAGGUUUUGAAAACGACCCAUCACGCCCCACACCUCCGGGCGGAUCACCCUGCAACCUCUCGCCACGUGGGGCGUGGGAUGGCUGGGAAUGCCUCCCCGUCCCAGCCCGCUCAUCCCGCCCCCGCCCCGCUCAUCCCGCCCCCGCCCCGCUCCGUGGCCAGAGCCCUGCUGCAAAAGGACACAGACGGGGGCCCCGCACCUCCUCGGCCACAUAAUGUGGGGACGAGCGCGGCGACCCCAGAGCCAGUGGUUAUUGUGAGCAGGUCAAAGCCCUGAAUAUCAAUAGACUCCUCCCAGCUCUGCGGCCGCCUCCCUUGCAGGAUAGGAACCGCUGCACGGCGGCCUCACCUCUGCCCGCAUCUUCCCAGCCCGCUUCAAAGGACACUGUCCACGCGGAAGACGCUUUAGGGAGGAAAAAAACAGCCACCGUUACACAAUUACCCGAGCAAGUCCGCACUGUGCUUUAACGGAGGAGGACAGACGCCCUGGCUCAAGUGAGGGAGGCUUUCAAGACGAAGAUCUAAACCCGGAGGUUUAGAAUGGGAGCGUCAGAAGUCUGGCGGUCCCAGCGUGCCUGGCCUGUUCUGCGCUCCUUGAAGCCGACGGAAUCGAUGGACGGGUCAAGCUCGACCACUCACCCAACCGCUGUCAGAUAACGGCGAUGAGAUCCCACACUAAUGAGCCGUGGGCUUUGCAGACGGCAUUACACGGAGGGUUAUUUCAGAGCCCUGACCUGUCAUCGGCCACCUCUCCAAGUCCCACACACAGCCCUGUCCUUGUCGAAGGACAGCACGAAGAUGCCACCCACCGGCCUGGUGAGAGGGACCGAAGUCCAAGGGGCCACCAGGGCCCAGAGCUGGAGGAAGCCGACCGUGUGGGACAGACGCACGGAAUCCAAGACGAGCGCAGACUGCAGCCACUCUCACCUAAAGGAAAAGCCAGUCCCUUCGGCCUGUUCUUCGGCACUGCCCACAGCUGUCAGGGUCUCCUAAGGUGACCCGCCGAUGACAUCACAGGUACAGCCAGGCGAAGGACAGAACGGCUCAGGGCCGCCUCCCUCCCUGAGCACCAGGGCUCCCACCUCCCACCCGUGUGCCUGUGUCGUCCUGGGCCGAGCUCACCCUGUCACUGUCCCUCCUGUGGGACCGGGAGGGGCCGCAGCACCCGCCUCUGUCUCUGAGCCCUGGGGUCCUACCUGCCGAGCUGCCACGUUUUUAUCUUCUUAACUCUCCGCUUAGAUGUUUAUUUCAGGAAUUUAAAACCUCACGACAGCAGCUCCGAACACUUCCUCGCCUAGGUCACGCUUUCUCUCCUCGCCUAGGUCACGCCUAGCCAUCCUGUCUCCCAAAAUACCUCUUCCUCUAAAUUUUUGCCCUUUAUCUCUAAACCAAAUGGCAUGUCUCUGACCAGCACUCUCAAAGAACUCCAGGCACUGCUGACAGUCACUGAUUAAAAAUGUACUACAUUUAUAUAAAUACA